GGUGACGCCGACAGGGCAAGUCAAAGCAGAGCUGGGAGGAUCUAGAACGAAUGAUGUUUCUGAUGAUGUCAUGUUCAGCUGAAAUGGUUCACAUGCGCUCCGAAGUGAAAGGACAUGGACGGAGUAUCCACCCAGAAGGACAGGUGACCUUGUGUGUGACGGAAUCUUCUUCACGGCCACCAGGAGCACGUAGGCCCUUCAUGGUGUGAUGUUGGCUGGACAUGUGACAUCCAGUACCAGCUUGUACAUGACUCUGCAGUUUCCAACUGAACUGAAUCAUUUAUAAUAUAUAUAUAAUGCCAUACCACUAACAUACUGUAUAUACGUGUUUCUACUAUACAAUAAACGUGGUACCUUAUCUUU